rnacentral:rRNA from 1 species
GACGAACGCUGGCGGCGUGCCUAAUACAUGCAAGUAGAACGCUGAAGAGAGGAGCUUGCUCUUCUUGGAUGAGUUGCGAACGGGUGAGUAACGCGUAGGUAACCUGCCUUGUAGCGGGGGAUAACUAUUGGAAACGAUAGCUAAUACCGCAUAACAAUGGAUGACACAUGUCAUUUAUUUGAAAGGGGCAAUUGCUCCACUACAAGAUGGACCUGCGUUGUAUUAGCUAGUAGGUGAGGUAACGGCUCACCUAGGCGACGAUACAUAGCCGACCUGAGAGGGUGAUCGGCCACACUGGGACUGAGACACGGCCCAGACUCCUACGGGAGGCAGCAGUAGGGAAUCUUCGGCAAUGGGGGCAACCCUGACCGAGCAACGCCGCGUGAGUGAAGAAGGUUUUCGGAUCGUAAAGCUCUGUUGUAAGUCAAGAACGAGUGUGAGAGUGGGAAGUUCACACUGUGACGGUAGCUUACCAGAAAGGGACGGCUAACUACGUGCCAGCAGCCGCGGUAAUACGUAGGUCCCGAGCGUUGUCCGGAAUUAUUGGGCGUAAAGCGAGCGCAGGCGGUUUGAUAAGUCUGAAGUUAAGGCUGUGGCUCAACCAUAGUUCGCUUUGGAAACUGUCAAACUUGAGUGCAGAAGGGGAGAGUGGAAUUCCAUGUGUAGCGGUGAAAUGCGUAGAUAUAUGGAGGAACACCGGUGGCGAAAGCGGCUCUCUGGUCUGUAACUGACGCUGAGGCUCGAAAGCGUGGGGAGCGAACAGGAUUAGAUACCCUGGUAGUCCACGCCGUAAACGAUGAGUGCUAGGUGUUGGAUCCUUUCCGGGAUUCAGUGCCGCAGCUAACGCAUUAAGCACUCCGCCUGGGGAGUACGACCGCAAGGUUGAAACUCAAAGGAAUUGACGGGGGCCCGCACAAGCGGUGGAGCAUGUGGUUUAAUUCGAAGCAACGCGAAGAACCUUACCAGGUCUUGACAUCCCGAUGCUAUUUCUAGAGAUAGAAAGUUACUUCGGUACAUCGGUGACAGGUGGUGCAUGGUUGUCGUCAGCUCGUGUCGUGAGAUGUUGGGUUAAGUCCCGCAACGAGCGCAACCCCUAUUGUUAGUUGCCAUCAUUCAGUUGGGCACUCUAGCGGGACUGCCGGUAAUAAACCGGAGGAAGGUGGGGAUGACGUCAAAUCAUCAUGCCCCUUAUGACCUGGGCUACACACGUGCUACAAUGGUUGGUACAACGAGUUGCGAGUCGGUGACGGCAAGCUAAUCUCUUAAAGCCAAUCUCAGUUCGGAUUGUAGGCUGCAACUCGCCUACAUGAAGUCGGAAUCGCUAGUAAUCGCGGAUCAGCACGCCGCGGUGAAUACGUUCCCGGGCCU